CAAAAACAUGUCCUUUUGUCUAUUAUAUAAGGUAUAGCCUGCCCAAUGAUUAAAAUUUAUUAAAUGGCCGCGGUAUAUUAACUGUGCUAAGGUAGCAUAAUCACUUGUCUUUUAAUUAAAGGCUAGAAUGAAUGGCUGGACGAGAUAUAAGCUUUCUUUAACUUACUUUUUGAAUUUAAUCUUUUAGUUAAAAAGCUAAAAUAUUUUUGAUAGACGAGAAGACCCUAUAGAUCUUUAUAUAUUGAUAUAUUAUAUAUUUUAGUUUAUUUAUAGUUUUAAUAUGUUUGUAUAUUUGAUUGGGGCGAUUGUAGAAUUUCAAUAACUUCUAUUUUUUGUUUUCAUUAGUUAGUGUUUAUUUGAUCCAUUAUUAUUGAUUAAAAGAUUAAGUUACCUUAGGGAUAACAGCGUAAUUUUUUUGGAGAGUUCUUAUCGAUAAAAGAGUUUGCGACCUCGAUGUUGGAUUAAAAUAAGUUUUAGGUGUAGAAGCUUAAUAACUAGGUCUGUUCGACCUUUAAUUUUUUACAUGAUCUGAGUUCA
rnacentral:rRNA from 1 species